rnacentral:lncRNA from 10 species
CCAGUAUGCAGCUGAUCUCCGUAGAUACAUCAACAUGCUGACCAGGCCUAGGUGUGUGCCACAGUUGGGGAGAGAGAUCCCAGCCCCUGGGACCCUGGGCCCACUCCACAUUCCUGGCCACACCCUAUCCCCAGCCCCAGCCCCAGCCCCUUCCAGGCCUGCUCUUGGGAAAACAGGGCAUCUGUGCUCAACAGGCCUAGACCAAUGUGCCCUGGGCAAGAUGGUGCCUACAGGCAGAUAUGAAACAGGUGGGCUGGCACCUGGGCACAGUGCUUGCCCCUGCUGCCUCUUCCCUCCCAGGUAUGGGAAAAGACACAAAGAGGACACGCUGGCCUUCUCGGAGUGGGGGUCCCCGCAUGCUGCUGUCCCCAGGGAGCUCAGCCCGCUGGACUUAUAAUGCCACCUUCUGUCUCCUACGACUCCAUGAGCAGCGCCAGCCCAGCUCUCCCCUCUGCACCCUUGGCUCUGGCCAAAGCUUGCUCCCUGCUCCCACACAGGCUCAAUAAAGCAAGUCAAAGCCA